rnacentral:rRNA from 1 species
CCUGAACGCUGGCGGCGUGGCUAAGACAUGCAAGUCGCACGGACGUAGCAAUACGUUAGUGGCGAACGGGUGAGUAAUGAAUCGCUAAUGUACCCCGGACUUUGGGAUAGCUGACCGAAAGGUCAGGUAAUACCAGAUGAUAUACUCGAUAGGCAUCUAUUGAGUCUCAAAGGUCCGCCGGUCUGGGAGCAGGCGAUUUCGUAUCAGGUAGUUGGUGAGGUAACGGCUCACCAAGCCGACGACGCGUAGCCGGACUGAGAGGUUGGCCGGCCACAUCGGGACUGAGACACUGCCCGGACUCCUACGGGGGGCUGCAGUAACGAAUCUUCCCCAAUGCACGCAAGUGUGAGGGAGCGACGCCGCGUGGAGGACGAAGUUCUUCGGAAUGUAAACUCCUGUCAGGGAUUAGAAAGUUCUGAUCAAUCCCAGAGGAAGAGGCGGCUAACUCUGUGCCAGCAGCCGCGGUAAUACAGAGGCCUCAAGCGUUAGGCGGAAUCACUGGGCUUAAAGCGUGUGUAGGCGGAUGCCUAAGUGCCUUGUGAAAUCCCACGGCUCAACCCGUGGAACUGCUUGGCAUACUGGGUGUCUUGAGCCAUCCAGGGGUCGCUGGAACAAGCGGUGGAGCGGUGAAAUGCGUAGAUAUCGUUUGGAACGCCAAAUGUGAAGACAGGCGACUGGGGAUGUACUGACGCUGAGACGCGAAAGCGUGGGGAGCAAACAGGAUUAGAUACCCUGGUAGUCCACGCUGUAAACGAUGGGCACUAGGUGUCCGGGGUAUUGACCCCCUGGGUGCCGCAGCUAACGCAUUAAGUGCCCCGCCUGGGGAGUACGGUCGCAAGAUUAAAACUCAAAGGAAUUGACGGGGGCCCGCACAAGCGGUGGAGCAUGUGGUUCAAUUCGACGCAACGCGAAGAACCUUACCUGGGCUAGACAACGGUGGACCGUCCUAGAAAUAGGAUUUUCCCUUCGGGGACUGCCGGUUCAGGUGCUGCAUGGCUGUCGUCAGCUCGUGCCGUGAGGUGUUGGGUUAAGUCCCGCAACGAGCGCAACCCUCGUCCUUAGUUGCCACCAUUCAGUUGGGCACUCUAGGGAGACUGCCGGCGUUAAGCCGGAGGAAGGUGGGGACGACGUCAAGUCAUCAUGGCCCUUAUGUCCAGGGCCACACACGUGCUACAAUGGGCGGUACAAAGGGUCGCUAACCCGCGAGGGGGAGCCAAUCCCAAAAAGCCGCUCUCAGUUCGGAUUGGAGUCUGCAACUCGACUCCAUGAAGUUGGAAUCGCUAGUAAUCGCGGAUCAGCACGCCGCGGUGAAUACGUUCCCGGGCCUUGCACUCACCGC